CUCAUCAGAUGGAAAAGAAUCAAAGGUUGAGGUCUGAGCUUCAAAAGAGGGAUCAGGAACUCGAAGACUAUAAAUCCAGAGAAUUAAAGGCUGAAAAUAGUCACCCCGCUGGUCAUUGGAAUGAUAAUAGCUAUUUACCUCCAACAAAGAGUCCAAUAGUCCUCAAUAAAGAUUUCAGAGAGACCCAAAAGGUUAAGGAAGCAGUUACGAUGGUU